rnacentral:lncRNA from 1 species
UUGCAUCAUCUUGAAGGUUGUGACAAUCAUAAUAUCUCAUCUAGUAGGUUAGCAAACAAAGGCUCUUGAGUCAAAUCCGUUGAUUGUUGAUUCUCUAUUUUCUUAGAUUACAACUAUAAAGAAGCUAUAAACAAGGAUUGAAAGUAGAAUAUUAUCUUACCUAGAUCUUGUUUUUUUUAUAAAGAAAGUUUUCAUCUUGAUUUUGAUGGAUGUCGUUGAUAAAAAUCCUAAUCCAAAAUCAAACCCUAACCAAAUCCUAACCCUAAAUCAAAUCCUAAACCUUAAAUCAAAUCUUAAUCCUAAAUCAAAUCCUAAACCUUAAACCAAAUCCUAACCCUAAAUCAAACUCUAAUCAAACAUUAAAUCCUAAACCAAAUCCUAACCAAAUCCUAAUAAUUUCUAUUACAGAUUUAAACCUUGAUGCUAAUUUCCCAGAGCCAAUCUCUUAUUUUCAUUGUUUGAUUGAUCUCAAAAUUCUCAUAAAUAUAGAAAAAAAAGUCUAAUAUCCUCUCACAUAAAUUUCAUUUCAAUCCAAUAAGUAGAUUACAAGAAAUCUAAAAAAAUCUCAUUGGACCUAAAAUUCCACUUUCUGAGAUCUUGAUCCACUUAAACCUCAAUAACCCUCAAUUCAACCAUUAGAUCAAGUUAAGAUUCACAACAAAUAUCAAUCACAACUAUGACCAUUAAUCCAUAUAAUUUCACCUUUAGAUCUAUUAGAAAACUCUUGAAAUCACAAGAAACGUCAAUCCUAUUUUAUUUCACAAAAUUUAAGUCAUCCAAAAAUAAACUUGACUUUGUAAAGCUCUUACAAAGUCAUUACAACUCCAAAUUAUCCAAAACCAAUGCUUAUAGAAAUCUUAUUCAACUUGCUAUCAAAUCCUACUCUUCGAUUUGCAAAAGAACCCUUGAGUUGCAAUAGGUGCUCAGUUUUGGUGUCUCAGGGUCUAAUUUCGAUCC